GACGAACGCUGGCGGCGUGCUUAACACAUGCAAGUCGUGCGGUAAGGCCCUUUCGGGGGUACACGCGCGGCGAACGGGUGAGUAACACGUGAGCAACCUGCCCUUCACUUUGGGAUAACUGCCGGAAACGGUGGCUAAUACCGGAUAUGACUUCCUCACGCAUGUGGGGUGGGGGAUAGACAUCGGGUGGUGGGGGAUGGGCUCGCGCGUUAUCAGCUUGUUGGUGGGGUGUUGGCUUACCAAGGCUCCGACGGGUAGCCGGCCUGAGAGGGUGACCGGCCACACUGGGACUGAGACACGGCCCAGACUCCUACGGGAGGCAGCAGUGGGGAAUAUUGGACAAUGGGCGAAAGCCUGAUCCAGCAACGCCGCGUGAGGGAUGACGGCCUUCGGGUUGUAAACCUCUUUCGCCUGCGACGAAGCGAGAGUGACGGUAGCAGGUAAAGAAGCACCGGCCAACUACGUG
rnacentral:rRNA from 1 species